UCUCGAUCCUCCUUGUGUUCAGAAACAACAUCCCUUCCCUUUUCCUCUCUUUAAUUCUCUCUCUUCCAAGUUCCAACCUAGAAAGAAAAUAUUAGGCCACACAGCCUCCUUUUUUCCUUGUUCGUCUUUGUUCCCCACAUACCAAUUCUAUUCCUACAUGCAAUAUAGCAUGAAUUUGCAUUUGUGUUAAAGAGUUUGUUGAUCAUAUAUAUCGAUCUUAAUUAAUUCCCACUGUACCUACAAGUAAAUGAUCAUGGCAUCGCCUUCCGAACUAAGCCUUGACUGCAAGCCCCACAGCCACUCUUUGUUGCUCAAAUCUUUUGGAGACCAGCCUGCCGAUAACCAGACUCAAAAGCUCGAAGAGUUCCUUGCCCGCCUCGAGGAAGAAAGGCUCAAAAUCGAUGCUUUCAAGCGCGAGCUUCCCCUCUGCAUGGAACUCCUCACAAAUGUCAUGGAGGACUCAAGGCAACAAUUGCAGAGCUACAAGGAAAAUCAAGGACCACGGCCCGUUCUUGAGGAAUUCAUACCUCUUAAACAUUCAAGCGCCGAAUGCUCGGAGAAGGCAGCAACCAUGUCUGAUAAGGCGAAUUGGAUGACUUCUGCACAGCUGUGGAGCCAAGCAAGCGAUGGAACGAAGCAACAAUCCCCCAUUAAUACAUCUCCCAGAAAAACUGAAAUUGGAUUCUGUACUGUUGGUACCAAUUUGGUUCUAAAUAAUAACAAACAAAGAAAUGGAGGAGCUUUCCUUCCCUUCUCCAAGGAUCAGAACUCGUCGCUAAGCCCGGCAUUACAGGCUCUUCCCGAUUUGGCUCUGGCUUCAAUCAACAAAGAAAUGGGAGAAAAGAAAUGUUUAGAGGUUGAUAAUGGAAUUACUUGCUCAAGCAGGGAGAAUCCUGGUAAGGUGGGGCAAGUGCAAGCAGGAAGCAGCGUUCCGGCAGAUCCUUCUCAAACUCCGGCCGCCACCAACGCAACCGGUGCCACCACUACUCAGACUCAUAGGAAAGCAAGAAGGUGCUGGUCGCCGGAUUUGCACCGCCGUUUUGUCCAUGCGCUUCAAAUGCUAGGUGGUUCUCAAGUGGCCACACCGAAACAAAUCAGAGAGCUCAUGAAGGUUGAUGGCUUGACGAAUGAUGAAGUGAAAAGCCAUCUCCAGAAAUAUAGGCUUCACACCAGACGACCAAGUCCCAGCCCACAAGCAGCGGGUACACCAGCACCCCAGUUAGUGGUUUUGGGGGGCAUAUGGGUUCCGCAAGAGUACGCCGCCUCCCACGGCGGCGCACCACCAACCUUAUACGGUGCACACCCGGCCACCCAUCCUCCUCCACACUACUGUGCUCCGGUCCCACAAGUGCCCCAAGAGUUCUACCCUGCACCGCCGCCACCGCCGGCGGCCCACCACCAGUUGGCCCACCCCGCUCUCCACCACCACCAGCUCCGGAUGUACAAGGCCUCCUCGCAGACCCACAGCUCUCCGGAAUCCGACGUGAGGGUGCCAGGAGACCGGUCGGAGAGCUUCGAAGAUGGAAAGUCCGAGAGCAGCAGCUGGAAAGCCGAGAGUGGAGGCGAGAACGGCGCCGGAGAAGAGAGAAAAGGGUUGGCGGCUCUGCGGCAGGAAGGUGAUCAAGAGAGCAACGGAAGUGGAAUCACUCUCAGGUUCUAACGGCUGCGUGAUUGGGGUUAGGGUUUAGGAAUUUGAUUAGCAAAAGUCUAUGUACGUAAUUGUUCCCCUGUAUAGGGUAAAAAGGGCAUAAAUGAAAAAAUUUGCCCUUUGUCUUUAAUAGACAGUGAAAGCACCGAGAAUGAUAUGCUGCCUUCGUGCUCUUAGGGUCAAAAAGUGCCACGUCGCAAAGAUGGUGUUGGGCACUACUUUGCUGCAAUGGGCCCUUCCCUUCAAGUGGGCCCACCUUGUUCGUAGAUCAGACCAGCCCUGGCUUGGGCUGGAUGGCCCAGAUCAGUAGAGGAUUUUCACAAAGGACUUGUGUUCUAAAGCUUCUAAGACAAGUCUCGGGAUUUGGUGAAGAAUGAAUGGGUCAGGGUGAAACGAUGUAUGCUUGAUUUGAUUAAAAAUUUAGAGAGGGAGGGGUCCCCAUUCAUAGAAAUCUUCUCUUAUUAAUUUUGUAAACAUGUAAAUAAAUUGGCCGUGUUGCAAAACAUAAGUCAAAUUUAGUGGAAGGUCAUUAUUAAGAGACUGUAAUAACCGCAUUUGUAAUCGAGGUUUAAACUUUUAUGGGGCAACAACA